UACGAAGGGGGCUAGCGUUGUUCGGAAUUACUGGGCGUAAAGCGCACGUAGGCGGCUUGGUUAGUCGGGUGUGAAAUCCCGGGGCUCAACCUCGGAACUGCAUCCGAAACUGCCAUGCUAGAGUAUGGGAGAGGGAAGUGGAAUUUCCGGUGUAGCGGUGAAAUGCGUAGAUAUCGGAAGGAACACCAGUGGCGAAGGCGACUUACUGGUCCAAUACUGACUCUGAGGUGCGAAAGCGUGGGGAGCAAACAGG
rnacentral:rRNA from 1 species